CCUUAGUCUAGAGAAAGACUUCUCUAUACGUAUUGCUGCUAUACAAAGGAUCAAAGCCUUGGUACAUGGAGGUUGGCAUGUAUCAUACAGUGUCCUAUUGUCCUAUAUUGGUAACAUCUAGAUUUGGUUUUGUUAGAACUGAUACAUGCCAUGGUGAACUGAAGUCCUAACCAAGUCACGAACAGAAAUUUGUUUGCACCUUUCUUGUUGGCACCUUUGUUGUUAACAUGAUUUACACAUUCUGUUUGAAACUAUCCUAUUUAGCAGGUGCUAUUGAUUAUCCUGUCUAAAGUGUUUUUUUUUAACUGAACAUUUAUAAUUAGGAAGUGAAUUAUUGAAAUGGCUGUCAUAACAUCCCUUCAUUUCCCAUUCUGAUGUCAAGUUGAGGUCAUACAUGGAGCUGCGUCCAUGCAUCAAAGGUGGGUCUAAAGUCUGAACAGGUUGUUUUGGUUUUUGAAUAGGUACAUCCAUCCAUCUAUGGAUGUGGUAUGUACAUGUGUCUAGGUUCAUCAACAUACAAAUGGAUAUAGACGGAGAAAAAGAGGUCUAGAAAGACCUACAAUUUGGAAUGGAGUGAGUAUCUGAUAAGCUCCAUCACAAGAAGUUCAAGGUUGAAUGCAUGGUCUUAGUCAAUGGAAUGUCAUAGUUAAAUGUUUAGACUUUGUAGCAUUUUUAAUUAAAAUUCAUCGUUUGAGGGAAA